rnacentral:rRNA from 1 species
CAGUCGCCGCGUUAAUACAGAGGGUGCGAGCGUUAAUCGGAUUUACUGGGCGUAAAGCGUGCGUAGGCGGCUUUUUAAGUCGGAUGUGAAAUCCCUGAGCUUAACUUAGGAAUUGCAUUCGAUACUGGGAAGCUAGAGUAUGGGAGAGGAUGGUAGAAUUCCAGGUGUAGCGGUGAAAUGCGUAGAGAUCUGGAGGAAUACCGAUGGCGAAGGCAGCCAUCUGGCCUAAUACUGACGCUGAGGUACGAAAGCAUGGGGAGCAAACAGGAUUAGAUACCCCAGUAGUCCCUGUCUCUUAUAU